rnacentral:rRNA from 1 species
AUUGAACGCUGGCGGAAUGCUUUACACAUGCAAGUCGAACGGCAGCACGGACUUCGGUCUGGUGGCGAGUGGCGAACGGGUGAGUAAUGUAUCGGAACGUGCCCAGUCGUGGGGGAUAACGUAGUGAAAAUUACGCUAAUACCGCAUACGAUCUAUGGAUGAAAGCGGGGGAUCGCAAGACCUCGCUCGAUUGGAGCGGCCGAUAUCAGAUUAGGUAGUUGGUGGGGUAAAGGCCCACCAAGCCAACGAUCUGUAGCUGGUCUGAGAGGACGACCAGCCAAACUGGAACUGAGACACGGUCCAGACUCCUACGGGAGGCAGCAGUGGGGAAUUUUGGACAAUGGGCGAAAGCCUGAUCCAGCCAUUCCGCGUGUAGGAUGAAGGCCCUCGGGUUGUAAACUGCUUUUGUACAGAACGAAAAGGUUUCUACUAAUACUAGGAGCUCAUGACGGUACUGUAAGAAUAAGCACCGGCUAACUACGUGCCAGCCGCCGCGGUAA